UACGUAGGGUGCAAGCGUUGUCCGGAAUUAUUGGGCGUAAAGAGCUCGUAGGCGGUUUGUCGCGUCUGCUGUGAAAACUCGGGGCUUAACCCCGGGCCUGCAGUGGGUACGGGCAGACUAGAGUGCGGUAGGGGAGACUGGAAUUCCUGGUGUAGCGGUGAAAUGCGCAGAUAUCAGGAGGAACACCGGUGGCGAAGGCGGCUACCUGGACCAGCACUGACACUGAGGCACGAAAGCGUGGGGAGCAAACAGG
rnacentral:rRNA from 1 species